rnacentral:rRNA from 1 species
GUCAUAUGCUUGUCUCAAAGAUUAAGCCAUGCAUGUCUCAGUACAAGCCAAAUUAAGGUGAAACCGCGAAAGGCUCAUUAAAUCAGUUAUGGUUCCUUAGAUCGUACCCACAUUUACUUGGAUAACUGUGGUAAUUCUAGAGCUAAUACAUGCCAACAGAACUCCGACCGGAGACGGAAGGAGUGCCUUUAUUAGAUCAAAACCAAUCGGUGGCGCGGCCUCGGUCGUGUCAUCGUACAACAUGGUGAAUCUGAAUAACGUUUGCUGAUCGCACGGUCUCGCACCGGCGACGCAUCUUUCAAAUGUCUGCCUUAUCAACUGUCGAUGGUAGGUUCUGCGCCUACCAUGGUUGUAACGGGUAACGGGGAAUCAGGGUUCGAUUCCGGAGAGGGAGCCUGAGAAACGGCUACCACAUCCAAGGAAGGCAGCAGGCGCGCAAAUUACCCACUCCCGGCACGGGGAGGUAGUGACGAAAAAUAACGAUACGGGACUCAUCCGAGGCCCCGUAAUCGGAAUGAGCACACUUUAAAUCCUUUCACGAGGAUCAAUCGGAGGGCAAGUCAGGUGCCAGCAGCCGCGGUAAUUCCUGCUCCGAUAGCGUA